rnacentral:rRNA from 1 species
AUUGAACGCUGGCGGCAUGCCUUACACAUGCAAGUCGAACGGCAGCACGGGUGCUUGCACCUGGUGGCGAGUGGCGAACGGGUGAGUAAUACAUCGGAACAUGUCCUGUAGUGGGGGAUAGCCCGGCGAAAGCCGGAUUAAUACCGCAUACGAUCUACGGAUGAAAGCGGGGGACCUUCGGGCCUCGCGCUAUAGGGUUGGCCGAUGGCUGAUUAGCUAGUUGGUGGGGUAAAGGCCUACCAAGGCGACGAUCAGUAGCUGGUCUGAGAGGACGACCAGCCACACUGGGACUGAGACACGGCCCAGACUCCUACGGGAGGCAGCAGUGGGGAAUUUUGGACAAAGGGCGAAAGCCUGAUCCAGCAAUGCCGCGUGUGUGAAGAAGGCCUUCGGGUUGUAAAGCACUUUUGUCCGGAAAGAAAUCCUUGGCCCUAAUACGGUCGGGGGAUGACGGUACCGGAAGAAUAAGCACCGACUAACUACGUG